AUCUUAUUAUUAUCUGCGUAAACAUAUAAAUAUAUAUUUCCAAUAAAUGAUUUUUUUGACGUACACACACUCAACGUCGUGAUAUAUUGUACACCUGUAGGCGCGGGGCUGAUCUUCCCCGGGUAUUCGCGAACAAAGAAGGGUGAUUUAUGGAUACCAUUUACAAUACGUUUCUUGCUUACAACAGCGAUAGUCAUCGUACAUACUUUGCGUCGAUCGUUAACGUUGUACACAACUGUGACGAGAAGAUAUCAGUAGAGGGCCUGGCUGUAAGGUGUCAACAAACACGUUCCUUUCGACCCAGACUUUGAGAGUUUUGCGGAAAGGAAAGCAAUGCCUUUUAAGAUAUAAAAUAUAUAUGUACGUGAAGUUAUUUAUAGACUACAUAAGGAUUUCCUGGAUGUAUUUAUAGAAACAAAACAUGGAUUUAGUCACUGGGGAAACCGGAAUAUUUUAACAUCUACGUCUUAAUAGCUCUGUACAUUGAACGUCUAUAGUGUUGUUGAGCUAACCAGGAUGGAUCACAAGAGUUUGGAAGCACCUCCCAGGGAAAGUUUAAUUGCUCCAAUUUCACAUAGGAAUAACGACGUAGAGCAGGAAUGUAUAUUUAACGAUCACAGAGAAACGAUUAAUGAAUUCAAUAAAAGACAGCUAGGACGGCUUAUAAUCAAACAUUGCGGUAAUGAAGGCUCGGAGGACAAUGAAGAAAAGGGGAGCAUGCGCAGAUUACUACAGGAAGCAAUCGACUACCUACCAAAAGAGAGAGAAUUAAUUUGGAAAAAUGCCAAAGUGACUAUUUAUGAUAUCAAAGGAAACUCGCUGGAAAUUACAAGUGGUAGUGGAAUGAAUGAGUUCUUUAUUCACCACAAUAUAAAGGGAGAAACAACUAUCGUUAAAAAAGAAAACAAAGGAUUUUGUGUGAUAUCCUAAUUGUCUCCUUUUGAGUAAAAACAACAAAUAUAUUGAUAAUGUAAACGUAACAAGUGAUGGAGCCGGUAUACAUUCAUUUCAUAUUUACUAUGAUGUAAAUAGAAAAGCAAGGGAUGCUUAAAUAGCUAUUGUAUUCAGUCAGAAAGUCUACUAAAAAGACAUGUUCUAAAACCAUAUUACACUAUCGCUGGUUUCAAUGGAUGUGUUUAUCUAAAAUGGUUUUCAUGUGGUUAAAUAAAAUAUGAUUUUUUGGGGUUUUUUCUUUGUUUUGUUUUUUUGUUUUUGUUUUUGUUUUUUAUUUUAUUUUAAAGAACAUUUUUGGAGUCUUAAAGUUUAUCUUAUUUGAUAAUCAACUCCUGAUUAUGGAAAACAAGAACAACAACCUUAUUUGAACAGAAAAUCCGUACUACACUGGCAAAGUAUUAAAAAAUGCAAGAUGAUAUAUAUUUUUCUAUUAAACACAGUGAUUAUAAAACAGAUCAACCAGGCAAACCAAGCCUAUUGGUUAGAGAACGGAUAGUAAUUAGUAAUUAUAGACAUAUAUUUUAAAAUAUUUAUCAUGACAACUAACAAAUUACUAGUAAAAACAUUGUUCAAAAUUCGUAAAUCACGUUUAGUUUUAUCUAUUUUCGGAUUUACAAAUAAAUUCAGUAUUUAAAACGUCAUUCCUGUACAAUACAGGAUUAUUUAAAUAUUUUAAACAGAAGACAAGAAUUACACACUACAUGUUCGAAGAGACGGUUAACAACACCGCUCACCGGAACACCGCAAUAACCAUUAUGACCAACACACAUCCAGAAGUGGCCGACAAUAAUUGUGCACUCAGGCACUGAAUUGCGUGCAUAGCAUAACAGUUAUCUUUUUCCGAUUAAAAUAAUACACAACAUGCAUAUAGCUUACUAUAUCAUUUGAGAUGUUACUGCAACGCGCUUCACGUGACAUGCUACAAUAAUAAUAAUAAUUCAAGAAUUUACAGACCACAUCUAGCAUACAUCCACGUGAGUAAAACAUCUUAUUACAAUCGAAAUUCAGUUUUUAGUGUCAGAAAUAAAAAUAUAUGAAAUAUAUUGGAUUAUUUGGAAUUCUAGCGUGAUGAUUUUUAUACAGAGUGGAGUUUUAUUUUCUUUAAAGCCGGAUUUGGGCCGAAAUAUAUAUUCUGAAUGACUUAUUAGUUCUGUUUGUGUGUGUUUGUAUGUGUUAUGAUUUAAUUUUAACUAGAAAUGUUAUCGAUUUUUCGUAAUUAUACCAUCGUAUUUUGUAUGUUGUAACAAGUGCAUUAAACACACAAAUACUCU